rnacentral:rRNA from 1 species
CCUACGGGCGGCAGCAGUGGGGGAUAUUGCACAAUGGGGGGAACCCUGAUGCAGCGACGCCGCGUGGGUGAAGGAGUGCUUCGGCAUGUAAAGCCCUAUCGUCAGGGAAGAAGCAAGACGGUACCUGACUAAGAUGCCCCGGCUAACUACGUGCCAGCAGCCGCGGUAAUACGUAAGGGGCAAGCGUUGUUCGGAAUGACUGGGCGGAAAGGGUGUGUAGGCGGGGUAGCAAGUUAGAAGGGAAAUACCUAGAGCUUAACUCAGGUGCUGCUUCUAAAACUGCUAUACUUGAGUGCAGUAGAGGAAAGUGGAAUUCCUAGUGUAGCGGUGGAAUGCGUAGAUAUUAGGAGGAACAUCAGUGGCGAAGGCGACUUUCUGGACUGUAACUGACGCUGAGGCACGAAAGUGUGGGGAGCAAACAGGAUUAGAUACCCGAGUAGUC